AGGCUCGCCGCCGGCUCUCUGCAGGAAACGUAAAAUCUGAUCAAGUUCAGAGACGCAUUGAGAGCCCGCUUCAAGCAGCGCUUUAUAACCGCGGCCCUUUCACAUCGUUCCCCCCAGUCAGCCCCGAGAAAGACUUCGCAUUCUUUAUUUUAGGUUUUUCAGGGAGGGAAAAAAAGAAAAAAAAAAAAAAGAAAGGAAAAAAAAAGCCACCACCGAUAUAAAAUCUCCCCGAGAGGUAACACCGGUGCCCGUCAAACACUCAAAUUUCCCAGGCCACGGCCGCCAAGAGCAGUUCCAAAGUUAGAAGGGAGGCAAUCGAGUCCAAGGAAAGGAGUACAUCAGAGAUCGGUGGAGAUGAGGGGAAAGCAACAGGAGCAACAUGUGAGCCAGGCACCUAGGACCUGUAUACAGGGGCUCUGGCAUGGCACUCUCUACAAGGAUCACCAGCCACUGGGUGAAAGCAAGCAGAGCAGUAUGAGAGAGAGACAUUCAAGAUGAGUGAGGGUUUGUUGCAGGAAAUGUCAUCACUAAAUACACCUUUAAAUAAGAGGAGGAAGGACAGUACCAGAUCCCACUUGCCAGACCAAGAAUUCAGCAGUCAGGCUCCAAUUCCUUCCUCAGCUACAGACUUUCUGGCCUCAGAUGUAAGAUUUGGCCUUUCUUGCCUCACUAGAAGAGACAAAGCCAGGGGGCUGUUGGAUGAGAAAUGCUUCCCUUCUCCAAGAGUCGCUGGACAUAAGCAUAACAACAAGAAACCCCAGAUAAUUCUAAAGCUUUCCUUUCCCCUCCAGUAACUCAGCUUUUGCUUCCUUACAGAUUUUAUACUGCACAGGUACCACAGAGUCUUUUAGACAAGGAGAACAACAUUCCUCUGUAUUUGCAUAUAAAACCCUCCAGGAACCCUGUACCCUUGUGCUCCCCCUUGCUACCCCACAGCAGAGGCAGAGGUGUCCCAGCUCCCUGACCUGUCCCUCACCCUGACCAUGGUGGCUGUCCCAAAAGGGAGACACAACCUGCCAAUCUAAAGCAAAGGGCAACUACUGGCCAGCAGCACCCUUCCCCCCAUCCCAGGGCCCGACUGCUUAUUUCUCUGGGUAAUCAUGCAAAGGGUUAUUUGGGGGCUUAAAAAUCUCCCCUGGGAAGCCCAAUCAAAGACAGCAGCCCUGGCUUUCACCCAACAGGUGAGAACUGCAAACACCCACAUGGGUUAUCUGCAUCACUAGUCUCUGCAGCAUUUUGCCACCAUUCCAGAGCAAAGAGAAAUGGGUCACCCACUGAGGCACCAGCCCAGGGGAAGGCUGCGGCACCACCAGGACCCAUGUGCUCCCAGUCCAUGCUAAAAUGGUUAAGUCAUCCUGUGCCUAACUCUGGCACUAAACCGUCCCUUAUAACCUCAUCUAUAUAUCUUUUAAACCCCUCCAGGGAUGGUGACUCCACCACUUCCCUGUGCAGCCUGUUCCAGAGCUCCACAACCCUUUCCAUGAAGAAAUUUUUCCUAAUGUCCAGUUUAGGGAAAAAAGGGCUACAUGUGGGUAACCCUUAGAGCAGGCUGGGCAGCAUUCGGGGCAGCCCUGCUGUAGUUUUUUUUUGUAUCUGCUUUACCUUCAAUACAACAUUAUUGAUAUUUCCAGUCUGGUAUUUAACAACUCUCAUUCAUUCCCACUUUUCUCUUCCCUUCCACUUCAUUCUCUUUGUUGCUCUGUAAUAGGGGAGGCAACAGGGCACAUAUUUCUGCAGAAUAAAGCAUUAUCAUCCUAA